AAACAUUUUCACAGUUUUAUGUUGCUAAUCAAAAUUUCACUUUUUUUUUUUCCGCUCUUCAGACUUUUUGAAUGAAGAAUUAUUCGACGAUUGGGAAGAAGAUUCGUGUUAAGCAAUCUUACAAGGUUAGUAUGUUAUUUCAAUUUCUCUGAGUAUCGCGAAUGAACUUGAUUUUUCGUUAAUAAGUUUUGUGUAACCGUCGUUCUUAGGGUUUUAAUUUUGGUUUGAUUCGGACACGAAACUAGUUUAAUCGGCUCUCUUGGUGAUUUAGUUAGGGUUCUUCUUCAGAUCCUUGAUACGAUCACGAUUGGGCCUAAUGGGCUUCUAUUUGGCUAAUUGUUUUGGCCCCGUUUUCCUUAGUAUUGCUUGUAUUUAAGCUUGUCUUAGUCUCUGGAAACGGUAUCGAAAGAUCAACAAAAACAACAAUGACGAAAGUCUAGUUCUCUUCCUUCUCCAUUUCUCUUCUCAUCUAAGCUCUGUUCUUCUGAUUUCUCAUCUCUUUCUUCUGUAUCUCAUCUUAUUUCUGUUACUUUCCUUGAUAGACCAAAUCUGGUUCUAUCAAUCCUGUUUUCCAAUUCUACUUCUCGUUCUUUUUAGGGUUUAUUUCUGUUUGGUUUGACUCAGCAAGCAAUUAUCUCAAUCGGCGGCUGGGUUCUUCUUCAUCUGAUUCCUCUUCGUGAUUUGUUUUAGGGUUUUCAAUUUUACUAAUUAGUCUUGUUAUUGAUUUUUGUUUUAGGGAUUCUGUUUUGAUCCUAACCAUAGAAGCUUGUCUCCGCUUCAUCGAGGUAAAUUUCUAUCCUCUCGUUUUAUUUUUGGUUUUGGUUUUGGUUUUGUUUUUGUUUUUGUUUUUGUUUUUGUUUUUGUUUUUGUUUUU
rnacentral:lncRNA from 1 species